rnacentral:rRNA from 1 species
UACGGAGGAUGCAAGCGUUAUCCGGAAUUAUUGGGCGUAAAGCGUCCGCAGGUGGCACUUCAAGUCUGCUGUCAAAGACCGGGGCUUAACCCUGGAAAGGCAGUGGAAACUGAAGCGCUAGAGUGUGGCAGGGGUAGAGGGAAUUCCCGGUGUAGCGGUGAAAUGCGUAGAUAUCGGGAAGAACACCAGUGGCGAAGGCGACCACCUGGACGGAGACUGACGCUGAGGCGCGAAAGCGUGGGGAGCAAACAGG